GAUUUAUUUGGCUUACGCUUCCUCAUCGAAGGAAGUCAAACAGGGCAGAAACCUGGAGGCGGGAGCUGAACAGGGGCAAUGGAGGGCGCUGUUUACUGGCUUGUUCCUUGUGGCCUGUUCAGCCCGCUUUCUUCUAGAACUCAGGACCACCAGCCCAGGGAUGGCUCCACCCACCAUGGGCUGGGUCCUUCGGCAGCCGUCACUAAUUAAGAAAAAUGCCUUACAACCAGAUCUAACGGAGGCAUUUUCUCAGUUAAGGUGACUCCUUUCAGGCGACUCUAGUCAGGGUGUCAAGUUGACAGAAGACGAGCAAGCACCACUUCCUUCGCCCUUUCUUCCUUAGGAUCCAGCCAGGAAGACAAAGGACAGAAAGUCGUCUUCAAGGUGAGCCAGGAGCGAGCACUGUGAGGCCCGAAAGGGAAUCCAUCUUCCCGUAACGGACAGCACGAGGAGAAACGGACAGCACGAGGAGACCGAUGAAGCAGACGACUCCGCGGUUAGCCCUGCGCUGGGCAGACGCAGCUCCUGCAGACUAAUGAGUUGCCUGUCAAUAACUGUCACCAAUCUUUAAAGACUCAGUCUGAGGGCAUAUGUCAGGAUGGGCUACUUAGCAUUCUGAGAGAGGCAUCUGCUCCCGACAUUUCGGGGAAAUCUUUUCUUACAAAUUCUUAAUGAUUGCAGACAUCUCAGAAACAGACUCAGGGGAGCAAAGGAGGGUUAGGGUAGAUGAAGAUUGAGGCCCCUUUGAUCAGCAUCUGUUCCUGGAUGCUCACAUCAGAGCCAGGAGAGGACCUUGUACCCUAAAAUAGAGGACUCUUCAACUCUCCUACCACACACACACACACACACACACACACACACACACACAGACACCUGACAAUGUCUGUGUGUUAUGUCUCUUCAUGUCUAUGGGGUUUUUUUUUUUUUUGCAAGAGAUAUUUGUAGGAUAAAUGUAUUAAAACGUAGUUCUUAACCAAGGGAAGGAAUUUGUCCUGUAAACUAUCACUUACUGAAUAGUUAUAGGACGUCUAUUCUAAAUGCAAACCACUCCUGAUAAUUUAGAAAUGCUUGCAAGUCCCCAGUUGCCUCCCAAAGGUAUGUAGUCUCCCUGCCUUCGAUCCCUUCCUGGAAUUCUGGAAGCCCCUUAUUAGCAGUGAUUCAGAAAGGAUUGUGUGACCCUCAGGAACAGGCAUGAGCCAAAGUGGGACUCUGCUUAGCAGGAUUCUGGGGAUUGAACUCAGGUCCUCCUCCAAGCCGUUCAUUGAGCCAUCUCCCUAGUACUUACUUUAUUUCUUUCAAGGACUUGUCUGACCUGUGCUGCUCUGACAGGCUAGCACUGAGGGUUGGAGGGGAAACUGCCUUCUGGGGCUCUGUUCAGGAGAACACACACAUACACACACACACACACACACACACACACACACACAUGUAUACAUAUAUAUAUAUAUAUAUAUGGAAUUUAUUAGAAUGGCUUAUAGGCUGUGGUCCAGCUAGCCCAACAAUUUCUAUCUACCUGCAAAAGGUCCAAGAAUUCAGUCCGUGAGGCCGAAUGUCUCAGCUGAUCUUUGGUAUAUGCCAGAAUCCUGAAGAAGUAGGCUCUGAUGCCAGUGAAGGAAUGGACUUGACAGAGAGGGGGAUGGGAAGCAGGCAGAGAGAGCAACCAACCUCCUCCUUCCGUGUUCUCUCUAUAGGCUGCCAGUAGAAAGUAUGGCUCAGAGUAAGGAAGGACCUUUCUACCACAAAAGAGCCGGAUUAGAAGUGGGAUUAGAAGUGGGACUUCCCGCUCUAAAUGGUUUCAUUUAGAAAAGGAAGUUCCUCACUGGUGUGGACCCAGCCAUUUGGAUUUUAGUUCAUUCCAGAUGCAGUCAGGUUGACAAGUAGGAACAGCCAUCACAGCAGAUAACUGGAUAACAAGUUAUCUUCAGCAUUUAGUCCACAGCCCAGAUUUAAAUUUCUCGCAGCCCUAGCUACUGUGCUAGGAAGACAAACAGGGGAGUUUGCCAGCCUCGACUGGGGACUCGUGCUCAAAUGGGAAUUCUUUUUUUUUUAAGGCUACCUAGUGCUCUACUUAAAGUCAAAAAAUGAUAUGUUUGGGUGGCAUGCAUGUUCGUGUGAUUGAGACAGGUUAUUUUUCUCUGCAUGUUUUUAUUGGUUUUUAUUGAAAUAUCGAUCUGACUGCGUGCAGAAUGGCUACCUGGGUGGGAAUUCAAGCAAAUGUAUGGGAAUCUUUGCUGGGUUUUUUUUUUUUUUUUUGAUUCGCUUACCCCGCGAGAAGCAUAAAAGAACUCAUUUCAACUUCGUUUAUUUCAUAUCACGGCCUCCUAUUUAGUCGCCAAUAUUCUGUGCAUUAGGGAAGUUUGUUUCGACAAUAAAACAAAAGAAAAAAAAGGUACAAGCAGCCUUUUCCUACACCUUUCCUACACGGCAUGAUGUUUCUCUGCCGUGCGCCAGAAGUUGGCUCUUACCAUAUUUCCUUCUACUGUAUAAUUUUAGAAUUUAUUUGUAGGUUGGAAUGGCUAUGACUACUGCCUAUAAGGAGCUAAUUCCGGCUGCGUUCCAACAAAGGGCUUUUGAUUUACAGGACUAGAACCCCACAACUUUUCCACGAAAUCUCAUUUUUCAAAUCACUUCCGGUGGGUGCCUGACAGUCGGCCUGUGGUCAAAUCCUGAAUUUCGUAGUGAAGUGAACUCGUUUUAUUCACCUUAGGAGUUAGCAAACAAGUAUUUCGGGCUUGAUUGGCAGGAGACACUGAGAGGAAGGAACCUAAGAAGCAUUUACUAAGCAAAGCCCCUUUCAUGAAAUAUAUUUUAAUCCUCAAACAACCCUCAGGGGGCCUACAGGAGCUGCUCACCCAGCUGAAGGUUUGUCCUCAGCUGCCACCUAAGUGAGCACUGUCGCAAGGAGACUCUCACCUCACAGGGGACAAGAGACUGUUUAUUCCGGAGCCAAAUGUGAGUGACCACAGCCAGGAAAAUAUCCCAGUUACUCCAGAUUCCAUGUUCUAAUGUGGAAGACGUUUCCAUAGCAACAGAACAAAGAAAAGCACAAAGCGGGACUUUUUCAGAUACACUGGUGGAAACAUAGACGGUCAGGAUAAAGCCAGGAGAAAUCAGGUCAGUUCUAAGUCUCUGUGCUGUCUGAUGACAUUUCUAGCUUUUUAGUCGGUGGAAACCAGGAUUUUUGACAAGCUAACGCACUCUGGAAGGGUUUAUCUCUUAGCAAAGGGAUAUUAAGUCAGAGGUAGACCUGUAUGAGGAAUGGCUAUUUAAAGAGCUAAAAAGUAACCCUUCUGGACCCACAUCAUUCUAACCGCUCCACAGGAUUGAGUUCAAACCAGUUAAUCAGAAAGCUCGGUGGAAGGUACAGCUUCCUUUUGGAAACUUCUGAUCACAGGACAUGGCUGGGAACGUGCCCUGCACCAAUAGGCGCUUGUCCUAGAUGACAGACCGGCCCCCACAGCUGGGCUACAGUGGGGAGUAUCCUCAGCCUGUUUUUUUCUCUGGAAUGUUGGCACACAACAGGUGGACAACCUCAUUCUGAAGAUGCCAUUCAACCCACGGCGCUUUGUUUUAUUUUAUACCUAUGUGCGUCUGUGUGCCACGUGCAUGCAGUACCGGCAGAGGCCAGAAGGAGGCGACAGAGUUCUUGAAACUGUCAUCGCUGGUCACUGCAAAGUAUCGCAGCCACAAGACUGGGGUCUCAGGACUUGAUUUGCAGACACACAGGCCUUUUGAGUCAAAAGCCUUUCUUGUCAGAGCAGAGGGUUUGUCCUCUCAAAACACUGGGCUGUCGCAGGUGAAGCCCACAUCUCCUUCUGCCGCAACGCUUUACGACGAAACAGUUGGGGAGUGAGAGCUUGGAAUUCCACAGAAGGAUUUGGGGCUCGGGUUUUAAAACUUAGCUGUCAUUGGCCCUUCUAGCCAUGCGUGGGAAUUACAAUAGACUCUUUACGAAGUCAUAAAAUUAUUUACCUGUAAACUGGAACCGUUGAACACCAAUUGUGCCCAUUCUUUGUAAACUCUUGGCUGUAAAAAACAGAGAAAGGAAGGCCCACAAGACACAGUUGCCUUGGGGUCCCAGUAACGCUAGAGUCCAGACCCUAAAGCCCAGUUCAUAGCUGUUCCAUCUAUCGGAUGGCCCUCAGGAUCAUGUGAGGUUUGGACGGAAAGCAUCGUUGAAUGUAGGAGCUGCAUAGAGAAGACCCUCAAGCCACAGGACGAAGAGAAGAGUUGAGUCAAAACGGGAGGAAUUCACUUGUAACUGAAAGAAAGAGGUCCUAGGGAAGGCUUGCGUUUACAUCCGACCUCAUUCAAAACAAAGCCCAUUUUAGCGGUGGAAAGAUGGCUCAGUGGUUAAGAGCACUGGCUGCUCUGGCAGAGGACCUGAGUUCGAUUCCCACUACCCACAGGGUGACUCACACCCUCCCAUUACUCUAGCUCCAGGGAUCUGAUGCCCUCUUCUGGCCUCUUUGGUCACUGCACCCACGUGCACAUACCAACACAGACGUACACAUAAUUACAAAAUAAUAAGGAUAAAUCUUUUCUCUAAAAAACUGUAGCUUAGGGGUUGGGGAUUUAGCUCAGUGGUAGAGCGCUUGCCUAGCAGGCGCAAGGCCCUGGGUUCGGUCCCCAGCUCCGAAAAAAAGAAAAGAAAAAAGAAAAAAAAUGUAGCUUACACUACUUAUAAGCCAACUGGACUACAUCUGAAUGUCAGGAUGCUACCUCAUCCCCAUUUAUAUACAGUAAUUUGUCAAAAAAAAAAGUUCUCUUUCCUCUAAUUGUUCAGCCAAAUCUGAACUAUGCCAAAUCUAUCUAAAUAGCUCAUGUUUGUCCAGCCCACCCUUAAUAACCCCACCCAGUCCAAGUGUAACAAGAAAACCUUGGGCUUUAUGACCUAAAAAUGGCCAGGAGGAUAGGCAUUGAAAGAUGUGACAUUUAAAGAAAGAGGAGACUCCUUUUUAAAAUAAAUGACCGGCUGACACGAAAUGCAUUAAUUCCUGAAGCACAGCCCUGAGGACUUGCAGAAAGACGUGAAGCUAAAGUGUGAUUUUCAUCUUGCUGUAAAUGACUCAACCCAGGCAAAGAAAAGGACCCCGGGAUAACCCAUCCUUGGACAUUGGGUGCUGGGCACUUUCUAGAAUGCGUUGACACUGAUAUAGGAAGGAUGCUUUGAGAGGGUGCCAGUCGGUGGGCAAGAUCAGACUGAGAAGGAUGGUGGGAGCGCCUGCUCCAAGCCUUACACUUACAAGAGACAUGUUACUUACACUUUCAAACAAGUAGGCUGCCCAGCAAUCCUCCUGCUGAUUUCAUUAUUAAAGUAUCUGUCUCAUUGAUCAUGGUUGAAGGACCACAGGGCCCUGGGGAUUCACAGAGGCAAUUUUCAGUGAUUCUGUUCAAACUCCCUCUUCCUUUAAGACCUCCAGAAAAGGAAAUAAAAAGAAAGGAAAAGAAAGAAAAAAGAAAACUUCCUAUGCAGGCAUCUGUCAGCCAUCCCCCUUAGCUAGAGUCCGUUUUCUGAAAGCCUCAAGUUGUGCAGAGCAGUAAUGGGGAGCAUCGGAAACCAGCCACACGGAUGGAUGGAGGUCAACGAAGGCACCGCCCUUCGUCAAAAAACAUCAAAAUGCAAAAGUAUAGAGGGCAGCCUUUGCCACUCACGGUGAUAGAACGGGCCAAAAUGUGUGCUCGCAGAUGCUAUUAAGCCUUUCUGAAAGACGCUAUUGACCACAUCGUGAGAGGUCUUUUGUUGCUGGCCCUCACAAGUCCUAUCUAGUCUAGAACAACCGAGGAAUCUAACUGAAGACACACUCUGCAAAUACCACGUGACCACAUGACUAGGCCAGGGAAUACAUAGAAGUGGGUGCUCCUAAACCCCACGACUGAUUGGUUGGAAUGGACUCCAGUAGACUGUACCCACACUUUCAAAUAUGCUGUCCAAAACACAGAGGGUUGUUUCUGUAACCCAAAAUAAAUUUUAACCUUCGGGGAGAUGAUCCUAUCUCUCACUUGGAGAGAAAGCCAGGAGAGCACAACCCACCACAGGAUUGUUUUUUAUUUGGCCAUGAGUGAGCAUGUGACCCUAUCCUGGCCAAUGAGAGAAAAAGAGCUCCAAGGACCCUGGGAAAAGCCGCCUUCCGCACAGACUUGGCUGGGUUUACAGGUACGCUGGGAGAAUCUGCGGCCAUUCCCUCCAGGAUGGGAAACCCCUGAGGAGUCACAAUUAACAAAAGGAUAGAAAAUGCAUCGUAAGCUCCUGGGACACCCUGCGCUGGUGCCCUUGGGACACCAUUGCCCUUGAGACACUCCGUGUGGGAUUCUGAAGUUUUCUUUGUACUUAAGUUGGUUGUGUGUAUUUACUGUUAUCUAACGUCAAAAGGACCUUUAUGUAAAUUCUGUGUUGCCUUUCGUCGUGGACUCUUGGGUGAGUGCUAACGAAUCGUCUUUUUAAUUGAUGUUAUUUUAAUCUUAUGUGUAGAUGUGUACAGAUGGUUUUUUUUUUUUUGCCCGGCUGUCUGCGCUUCAUGUUUAUGCAGUACCUAUGGAGGCCAGAAGAGGGCGUCAGAUGCCCUUGAGCUGCAAUUACAGGAGGUUGUGAGCUACCGUGUGGGUAAAGAGACUUGAACCCAGAUCUUCUGCAAGAGCGGCCGGUCCUCUUCUCCGCUCUGCCAUCUCUCUAACUCCACGUUACUCUUAGUGCUGUGACCAAACACUGGAAAGAAGCUACUUAAGGGCGAAAGAGUUUAGACUGCCCUGUGGUUGGAGUGUCCAGCCCAUUACGAUGUGUGGCCUGGGUCAAUCAGUCUACAGCCGGAGCUUAGUACAGUGAAGAACAGGAAGCAGAGACCGGGCUGGAAGACAGCGCUGGAAUCUUCGAGCCCCACCUUACUUACGCCCAUGACCUGCUUCCUCCUGUUUCCCAAAAGCCCCAGAAUCUCCUCAAACAAUGCCACCCCGGCUGAAGGCUGAGCGUUCAUCCCUAGGAGCUGAUAAGGUACACUUCAAAACCAAACCUACAGCAUUUCCGGCACCUCUGGAAUUCGGACCUCUGACCAUGCGUUUUUAAGAUGGAUGUGAUUUGAAAGAGUGGAUUAGGAAACUAAUCCAUCACAUCCAAUGUUCAUCACCUACUGGGACCUCGAGACUCUGACACAACUGAGGCCUCAAUCUGUAAAAUGGGAAUAAACACAGCCCCCCACAGGUUCACUGUGCUUUCUCACCAGUGGUCCCUGGUACGUAGUAAAUGCUCAAUAAAUCUCAUCAUUGGGUUUCUCUCACGUCCCCUCAAAUACAGUGAGUGCCACGCUCUGUGUGCAGCAAACAUUCCAGCCCUGAGGGUGGAGGUAUCAGGUGGCACACAUGUCCUCAAGACACAGCCGCAGACUGGCAACCUCCCCAGUCAAAGAAAUCAUAACCAAUUCGAGGUCGGUAGGACAGAGGGUAUCCUACCUGAAUGAUGGCGCUGCGUUGUGAAAUGAUGGGGGGUGGGGGGAGGGGUACUGUGCUGUCAAAGCUGCCUGGAUUCACAGAGGAGAGUCACUGUGACCUAAGGGAAGGGGGACUGCGUUUGAAGUUUGAAGCAGAUUGUGAAAUGGAACGUGGGUGUUCUAAAGUAGGAGAGGGUCAUAUGGAGGACUCACAGAACUGCUGGAAAGUCAACGUUGAGGCCACCUGACUGCGAUGGUUUGUAUAUGCUUAGCCCAGGGAAUGGCACUAUUAGGAGAUGAGGCCCUGUUGGAGUCGGUAUGGCACUGUAGGUGUGGGCUUUAAGUCCCUCACCCUAGCUCCCUGGAAGCCAGCCUUCUCCUAGCAGCCUUCAGAUGAAGACGUAGACCUCUCAGCUCCUCCUGCACCAUGCCUGCCUGGAUGCUGCCAUGUUCCCACCUUGAUGAAAAUGGACUGAGCCUCUGAACCUGUAAGCCAGCCCCAGUUAAAUGUUUUUCUUAUAAGAUUUGCCUUGGCCAUGGGUUCACAGCAGUAAAACCUUAACUAAGACAGAAAUUGCUACCAGAGACUGGGUUAUUGCUGUGAUCGGCCUGACUGUGUUUUUGUUUGGACAAAUGUGGAUUUGGGGACUUAGGAUUUGGAAAGCAGUGGAAUGCUUAAAGUGGGGCUUAAUGGGCUUUUCUAGUAGGAAUAUGGAAGACGUGGUGCUGAGGGUCAUUUGAACAAUGGGGGCUCAAGAGUUUUCAAAGGCAAAGAACAUUAGUAUGUGGCCUAGAGACUGUUCUUGUGAUAUUUUGGUAAAGAACGUGGCUGCUUUUUGCCCAUGUCUGAAGAGUCUGUCUGAGGCUCAAGUGAAGAGACUCAGAUUAAUUGUAUUGAGCAAAGAAGUCUCGGAAACGCCCAGCAGAGACUUUGUUCCCUGGUUAAGUCUCAGGAAGAGCGUUUUGAACAAGCGUAGCAAGCUUAGAAAGGAAAAAUAUAAAAUAUAUGGUUCGUGUAUUGAAGGAGCUACCAGGAAUUGAAUCUUCUGUUCAAGGAUAUUAAAUUGCGUUAAGGGAGUGGUAAGAUCCUACCCAGCUAAGUUUAGGUACAGGUAGGGUGGACCAUGCCUUUAACCCCAGCAUUCAGAAGACAGAGUCAUGCAGAUCUCUGAGUUCAAGGUCAGUCUACAGAGCAAGCUCCAGGACAGCCAAGCUUAGGCAGUGAAGGAGUUGGAAAACAGAAAGCUGGUGCUGAUGUCAUAGAACAAGGGGGCCAUGUUCCAGCUCCAGCAGGCAGCAGAACUCAGCAGCUUCAGCCAUGUGGCUCUGGCUCUAGAGUCAAAAAUAGAAGGGACAAUUGAUGCUGGUCAGCUAGAGCUAAGAAAUGAGUGGUGAUUAAGAAGAGACCAGCAUCACUGAGGUGAAAUCUUCUGGGGAAAUGUUUUCUGAGAUCACAAAGGAACCGUGUUCCAGAGAUAACCAAGGUUGUACCUUGUGCUGCAACUGGACUUGGGAAUGUGUAAGAGUCACCUGGGUGGUACUGGUUUAGAAGACAUGAAGAGGCCUUGGAAAGCAGGUAGGUCUUGGCACUGUGAGAGGUCGUGGAAGGCCACUGUUGAAGGUGCAGCCUCAGUUGCAGUGGACAGCCCAGGACUGAAGGGCUCAUGCAAAGAAUCUGAGGCUUGGCACCAUAAAGACAGCCUAGGAGAGGUUAUUGGAGAAGCCUAGUUGCAGCAGAACGCCCCAGUGUAUUGGAGAUGCCAGUACCCUGAGACGAUCACCAAGAACAGCAGUGACAACGGAGUGGAUCAACAUGAGGUUAGAGUGUUACAGACAGCAAAGCUGGAGAUGUGACCCAAGCCCUUUGGAGAGGCCCAGAAGAUCCUGUGUGGAUCUCAGACAUUGGAAGCUGUAACAUUGAAGUUGCCUUGGAGACCCCAAGAUGUUCAAGAUGACAGAGCCAUGAGCUAUCUGCUGAGGAAAGCUUCUAAUAGGGAGUGGAACCAGCCCAGGAGAAAGAAGUGUGUUGUCGUCAACAAAGAUGAAAAAAGAGUUGGGAGGUCUGAAGAUUGCUUUGACAUCACACAUGGAGAAGGCAGAGUUUGCAGUUUGCCCAGCUGUUUGCCUGUCUUAAUUCGGGGAUUAUAGUUCAGUGGUUGGAUGAAUCUCAGAAGAGACCUUCAACUUUGGACUUUUAACAUUGUUGAGACUGCUAUAGACUAUGGGGACUCUGGAAGUUGGACUAAUUGUAUUUUGCAUUAUGCUAUAUUUAGGUGUAUGAAUAAGCCUAUGGGGGCCAGGGAGUGAAACGUGAUGGUUUGUAUAUGCUUGGCUCAGGGAGUGGCACUAUUAGAAGGUGCGGCCCUUUUAGAGUAGGUGUGUCACUGUGGGCAUGAGCCUUAAGACCCUCAUCCUAGCUCCCUGAAAGCCAGUCUUCUCCUGUCUGCCUUCGGAUGAAGAUGUAGAACUCUCAGCUCCACCCGCACCAUGCCUACCUGGAUGCUGCCCUGCUCCCACCUUGAUGAUAAUGGACUGAACCUCUGAACCUGUAAGCCAGCCCCAGUUAAAUACUGUCUUUGUAAGAGUUGCCUUGGUCACAUUGUCUGUGCACAGCAGUAAAACCCUAACUAAGACACUGACUUUGCUCUUUAACGUUGUUGCCUCAGUGGACAGUGGACAUGCCCAGGAUGAAGCCAAGUCUUGACAUGGGACCUACAUGUCAGAUGGGGCCUGGCAGAGGUGAGGACUCUUCGUGCAGUGGCCGUCUUUGCAUUGCUAUGACCAUAACACCCAGGAGAUACGAAUUAAAGAAGCAGGGAAUUAUCUUGAUUUCUGGCAUCAAGAGGCUUCCAUCCAUCAUAGUGAGGAAGGCACGGCUUGCAUCUCAUCCUAAAAACGUGGUAGAGCCUGUUCCCAUCGUGCCAGCGAGCAGAGAGAAUGACAAGAAUUGGCCAGGGAAAAUGUACUUUCUAAGAACCUGGGCCUCACGGCCUAAUUUCUUCUAGCUAAGCUUCUCUUUCCAAAGUUUCCAGAAAUGUCCAAAAUAGCACUGCCCCCUGGGAACCAAGCUAUCCAAUCGUGAACCUGUCGGGACAUCUCAGACCCAAACCAAACCCAACGAGAGUCGUUUGCUUUGUUUCCUCAUUUCAAACCUCGUUUCACACUGCUGUGAUUUAAAACAAACAAACAAAAAAGCCUGACCAAAUCCACACAGUGUCACCUCCAGCUGAGGACUUUAGAGCCAGAGGAGGGUGACAGGCACCACGGAGAGCCUAGGAACCCCUGUCUAUGGAAUGGUACCACCCUCAGUGGACUCAACCCCCCUACAUCAAUUAACAGCCAAGACAAUCCCCAUGUAGACACAUCCACUGGCCCGCCUGAUGUAGACAAGCCCUCCACUGAGGCUUCUCUCCGAUGGCUCUGGACUGCAUCCCACUAACAGUUCAAACUAAUCAGGACACCUUGCUUAGCCACAAGGAUGAAAAUGUGACAAUUUCAUAUUCAUGCAAAAAGAAAAAAAAAUAAGUCCUGCUUGGAGCCAAGACUGGCUCUCCUGUUGGAGAGAUAGAGGAAAAAAAUCCUCCCCUGCACCCCCACCCUGUGACUUCCCUAGUGAUUGGCAUAAGGUUAGGGGUGAGAGAGCUAGAAUAUACAAAUGGAUUCAAAUGCAUCUGCUUCCCCUUGAUAGACAGGUCCCCCUUCCAUAUCACAUCUGGCCACUGUCCCCACACUGUUGGCAGAACCCAAGUCCUUGUGCUGGGUAAUCAUGAAGAAAAUGCUUUCUGGUUCUUUUAAUUGACUUCUCACUCGGCCUCGGAUGUCAGGGUUGGUUUCUCAUGACACCUUCUUCCCGUGUCUUAGGCGACGGCCAUUAGUUAUGCGCCAGCUAUUGGAAAAUUUGGAGAUGGCUGGCAUUGAGGAGUCACGAUGCUCAGCAUUGCCUGCUGAUGAAGGAUUAUUGAUUUUGCUCCAAGAAUAGACGGGGGAAAAAAAUUAAAUGCUGAGUUAGGGUGAGUGCCCCCAGAAUAUCCAUCCUCCCCUUCGGCAAGCAAGGGAUGCGGGAGACCUUGCAAUGGACACUUGAGGGACAUUUGUACCUCCGCCUUGGCCCAUCUGCCUUCUCUGCUCCUGCCCAGCCCUUCCCAGGCUGCCUAAGGCUCCACAGUCUAGAAAAUGUGAUACCUGAUUUACAGGCACACACUUGAGAAGAGGCAGCCUCCUGCAUCCAGCAGCUGGACAGGCAGCGGUACAAGUACUGCCUCAUAGUAGGGGACAAAACAGGGCAGGAAGGAAGCUGAUGAUAAUUUUCUAAUAGAGUCUGAAUGCGGUGUGAUUUUCCCAGUGGGCUUUGAGAGUCAGGGUGGGGACAUAAUUGGGUUUGAUUUUCAUAUCUGUACUUCUGGAACUGGAAAAGUUUAGGCUAUGCAUGAGGAAGUGGGUAUGGAAAGAAGGAGGGAGGGAGGGUGGAGAGAGGGAAUGUCACAGGAACUAAGAUGCCAAGAGCCUAAUGUUGGACCAUUCAUCUGAAAAUGUCCUGUGCUUGCAUAAGAACCAACCUUGAUUGCCCUGGUCAAUUCCAUCCAAAAACUUCAUGGCCCAGGGACUGCCCCUGAUUAUCUCUUGGGGAACAGUGGGACCAUUGAGACUUGAGACCAGACUUCAUAUCUGUUUCUGGGAUUUCCUCAUCCGGCUCUCAGCUCCCAGCCGGGGACCCCUCCCUCCACGCAGGUCCUUCUCAGAGCACCAUGUGGUCUCUCUGAGCUCUAAACUUGUGGCUUUGUAAACCACUCAGCGUUGUUAUACAGAAAACAUACUGUUGUUCCAUGGAGACUCCAUGAAAUGCAACUGACACAGCCCAGAGCCGCCAUAUACAAGGGUGGGCACAGCUCCAUCUGAUCAUUCAAUCCAGGAGCCCCUUGACAGUGCAAGAUGGCCUCUGUUACCCCUCCCCCUCUACCACACAUCCUACCAUUCUCAUUGGAAGUGGCUCUUUGUCCUUGCAAAUCUUUCUGGGAUAUCAGGCAUGAAGAACGUUAUCCUCUCCUUGUCUGACUCACGACGUAGGGACCGACCUCAGAGCUGAGUCGGGAUUCACGUAUGAACUCAGAGAGUGACUUCCUGCCAAUCAGGGUCACUGGAAGAUCAGAUUCAACUUUCUGAGGUGGACAUUUCUGGUCUUUGUUGGGCUUUGCUGACACUGGGCUUCGCUAUUGAUGCUCUGGCAUUGGUUUGCCUUGUUUUCUUCACUGAUCUUUGCUUGUCGUGACUUCGUACAGAGAAAUACACCAAAAACCUUCUGGAGGUGUUCUGGCUGCUUCUUGCUGCUUCAACAGACUCACGCUGAUAGGUGGAGCCUCGCGGUUUCUUCUGGAUUUAGCCACUGCUGCUGAUUCGAGUAGACUGGACUGCUGACAACAAAGACUGGAAUCGCCCCAAAGAACUACUUCUAAACAGGUCCACAUCCCCCUUGUCCUAUUAGCCAACUUCCUCUCCUACCUUUUGCCCGUGGGCUAUAAGGGAGAUUAAAGCCUUUAAGGACUUUUAUUAAAGUAGGAUUUGAAAAA